GUUCCUCAAUUUUGGAGAGUAUUUACUUCUAAUAAGCAGUAGAAUAUAAUCUAGUGGAUGAUGUGCGGGUUCAGUGAAGGAAGUGCUACAUAGUUGGGCUCAUAGAAGUGGGAAGAGAAGUCUAAGGGCAUGGAGUGUUGCCCCCUUAGCAAUCAUGUUGGGUUAUUUGGAAAGAGAUAAUUAGAAGGGCGCUUGAAGGAGUGGAACAAGAGUUUAUAAAAUUGCAAAGUAGUCUUUUGUUAAGGUUGUUUAUUUCAGCAUUAAAGUAUAUUAUGACCUACUGUGCAAAAACCACUGUCAGAAUGGAAAACAAAAUUACUCUAAAUGACUGGUUAACUAUUAAAAGUUUUGGCAUGCACCAACUCAUGAUAUAUGAAAAGAGUCUCCUUGGGACGUAUCGGUCACACACACCUUUAGUUUGUACUCGUCCAAAUAUUCUCCUGCUUCAUCUCUAAGGUGCAAUCUAAUUUCAGUUCCACGACCAAGAGGUUCAUUCCAUACAUCUUCAGAAAUGGCAAAUGCACCAUCAGCCUUAGACUCCCAGACAUAUCUGAAUGCAGAUAUUUGUUAAAUCACUAAUAAAAUUCCCAAUACAUCAAUAGUCAUUAAUCAACACAUUCACACAAGAACGUACUGUUUGUCAUCGUUAUGCUUGCUGAUGACCUCAACAUAGUCAGCUACAAGAUAGACCGAGUAAAACCCAACACCAAAUUGUCCAAUCAGAUUAAGGUCUCCACUUGUCUGCAUCUUCUCAACAAAGGCUGUUGAGCAAUAACAAGUUAGUGAACAGUAAAGAGAACUCCAAGAACACCGCCAAUCUCAUAUCCACCAGAUAGAUUACCUGAAGUUCCAGAUUUAGCUAUAGUUCCCAAGUUCUUUAUUAAAUCCUCCUUGGUCAUUCCUAUACCUCUGUCACGAAUGGAAAGAAUUUUCUUUUCUUUAUCCAGUUUAAUCUGCAAUAAACAAUACAAUCAUCAGAACAGCUUUUAAAAGAGCAACCUCCUCGUACUAGCAACCAACAGAGUCUACACAAACAACGGACACAAAUCACCAACCUGGAUCUCAAGCUUAGUGUUAUCACCUUCCCCAAGUACCUCCUUGUCAGUAAGUGACAGGAACCUAAUCUUGUCCAGCGCCUGAAUUUAACAGGAUAUUAACUUAGAAGAAAUCAUUUGCAUAUAAUGUCGAACAUCACCAGAGACUUUAAAAGUGUGCUUACAUCCGAUGCAUUCGAGAUCAGCUCCCUCAAGAAGAUGUCCUUGUUACUGUAAAGGGAGUUGAUAAUGAUGUCCAUAAGCCGAGAGACCUCAGCUUGGAACUCAAAUUUCUCUGCAUCAGCUCGGAGAGUUUUCCUAGACAUAGACUCCGAUUCCCUAUAAUGAUAUAGUGCUCAGUACAAUGAAGAUACAAAGAAGUUGAAGGCAAGGAAUCAGGGCGAAACAAACUAAAUGAAUCGACAAUUCGGAAACCUUUUAACGACAUCAGAAUCAGUGGAUAAACCAUGUGGAACAGCACCAAACUUUUCCUCAACCUUUGGCGGAUCAACAGGGGCAUCAGAUUCAGCUUCCGCAUUUGCUUGAAUCCUCCGACCUAUUGAGUAAAAAAAUCAUGUUUCAGAAUAAAGCAGUAAUGUCCGUACUCCACUAAGCAAUUCAAUCAAUCAAUCAACUAUGUAACUCCUUAAAUAAUUACGGCAGCAAAUUUUCAAGGCAGCACCAGACCAAAAAUGCCUCACAAACUUCAAAGCUAAGGCAAAUAUUACUGCCCAAUGCUCGAUCCACAGUAUUAGUUCAUCAUCUAACUAAACUAUUUAAAAUCUUACAUACAUAUAACAAGAAAAUUCCAUGAGAUCUCAAAACAAAUAGUUUACCUUGAUCUGGAAGAAGGAAAAGAAGACAUAACAGAAACAGGACCGAAGGGAUCGUCCACUUCCUCAUUUGUAUUGGAUUUCACUCUCAGACCUCAGCGGCUUUUGAAAUUUGGCUUCUAAGUAGCGCCAUUUCCAGUGAGCGACUAUAUAUAGUGAGCUCGUGCCGUCUCCGUCUGUGUCACGAGUUCGAUACCCACGACUAGGAGAUCCAUUUUCCUAAUUUUUUGCCAGCGUGGACGAUCGAACGGUUAUGAUGUGUGAUAGUAUACGUGGCGUGGUUUUAUUGGUUUCCGUCGCCUCUUGAGACGUGGAGAAAACCUUUGUUCUAUAAGUCGACGCGAACGACGACCUGGUUUCUAUCUUCUGCGCUGAGGUCCAUGGAAUAGAUCAGUUGGAAUUACUUACCGUAGCAGCUACGUCUGAGAACCACGUGUUCUUCUUUCAUUGGCAAGUACAAAAGGUGUAAGGUGAGUGGUGACCAUACAUUAUGCAGCGAAUUCAGGUCAAUAUUCGUGAUUAUGAACUAAUGUUAAUAAUUUGCGAUUUUUUAACUUCGACCAUUCCUUGUGUUAAACCAUAGGUUUUGAAAAUAUUUUUUAACUAGAGUUAAGUUCAAUGCAUAAUUGUCUAAAACUAUUUACAGAAUGACUUACAAAAUAAUUAUCUGUUACAAGCAUUCAUUAAUAUCUCGAUAAACAUGAUAACUAACUUACUAUAAUAGGUUAAACUAUACUGAUAAAAGAAAUAUUUAUACUAUCAAAUUAACUUAGAUCCUUUUAAAUAUUCUACUUAUCAUGAUACUGAUCCGUCUAUUGAUUUUUCAUAAUUAAAGAGUAGAGUCAUUUAUUAUUCUUUCUUUUGCAUGAAUUCAAUCAAAAGAUGGAAGAAAUGUAGAAUCACGUAGCGGACUUAUGAUCUGGUUAUCUUGGUUGCAUGAUAAUCGAGAAUAUUAAUAGAACAUGAUAAAGACAAGACACAUUCUUCUAAAUUUCUAUGAUGUAAAUGAGAGUUUACAAUUACGUAAGUUCUUUGUGGUAGCAAUAAUCUAGACGAGAAGCAAUAAAUUUUGUCUAUUAUUGUUUCUACUGCUAACAACAUUUGGUUCGGUUAAGGCAUUAAUUACGUUUCAUUUGCUAAACUCACGAAGCAGGGGCGGCCCUUCCCUAAAGCAAGUAAAGUAAUUGCUUUAGGCUCCAUAUUUGUGGGGGUGGAUAUUUUUUGUUACAUCUAAUAGGCUAUAUACAAGUUUUUAAAAAGUUAUGUGAAGUAAAAAUAUUUGAUUUCUUUCUAUAAUAAAUACUCCCUCUGUUCCAGUUUACGUGAACCUAUUUCCUUUUUAGUCUGUUCCAAAAAGAAUGACCCCUUUCUAAAUUUGAUAACAAUUUAGCUUAAACUUAUAAUUCUACCCUUAAUGAGAAACUUUUAUAACCACACAAAUACUAUGGGCCCCUUUUUGACUUGUUUAGGACCAUAAAUUUCAAAAGUCUUCAUUUUUUCUUAAACUCUGUACCCAGUCAAACAGGUUCACAUAAAUUAAAAUGGAGGGAGUAUAGAGAAGAAGGAUUUACAAUUGAUAUGAUUUCUGCCUAGGAAAUUAUAGUUGAAAUAAAUAUAUAAUCUAAAUUUCGUGGGAAACUUGUGAUAUAUAGAAAAAAAUAAUUUGAUGAGAAUAUUGAUUGUGAAAUCUCAUGUUCUCUUGAAGAGUCCUUUAGAGUUGAUUAUUUUAUAUACAUAGUAUUCACUUCAAAAUAGAUUUAAACAAUUCGAAACAUAUGAAAAUAUUUUUGAUUUUAUAUUUAGCGGUAAAAAACUGAGAUCACUAUAUAAUGGAAAGAGAGUUUAAAUGUAUUAGGUAUAUUGUCAAUUAUUAUGAGAAACUGAUUAUAAGAAAAUUAUUAAUAAUUUUACAUCUAAAAAAACUAAAAAAAUAGACUUCAAAUAAAAAGUUUUUUGAAAAAAGAAGUUAAAGCCCAUUAUAAUUUAGCUUCAAGCCACAAAAUUUGGGGAGAAAUUCAAAAAUAUCCAGAUUUACAACUGGUCAUUCAAAAAUAGCUCAGUUUCAAAAGUAAUCAAAAUUUAGCCAAUUUUCAUGUAAACAUAAAUCUGAGCGAAAACACUGUUCAAAACCCGAAAAAUACGCCAGUAUAUUAUACUGGAGUUCCAACAAAAAUAUGCUUGAACUCCAGCAUAUUAUACUGGAGUUCCAGCAUAAGUACACUAGAACUCCAGCAUAAUAUACUGGAGUUCCGGCAAGGAUAAUUGUCCAGUAUAAUAUACUGGAGUUUGGAGCACUGGUGCUCCAGUCUCCAGUAUAUUAUACUGGAGUCAGCAAAGUAUACCGGUCCAGCAUAACAUGCUGGAGUUCAUACACAGGUGCACCGAACUCCAGUAUAUUAUGCUGGAUCGAUCUCUGUUGCAGCAAAAUAGUGGCUAUUUUUCAUUGACUUCGUAAAUGCUGGCUAUUUUUGAAUGAUCACUCCGAACACUGGCUAUACCGUGCUAUUUUUACCAAAAUUUGUCGGGCUGUCCCAGGAAGUAGUAUAUGAAGGUGCAUUUUUGCAUAUCUGGUACAUUCGUAGGAAAAGAUUCUUUUAUUCAUUUAUAGAGUCAUGUAAAAAUGAUUUAAAUGUAACUGUUAUAUGAAUUUACUAAUAAUUGACGUAUCCCCUAUGAAGCUGAAAUUUCUUUAUGCUUUCUCGCUUUUAAGUUCCUCAUAGGGACAAAAUAAGUAUGGGGCUAACUGCUAUACAACAAGGUAAGUCUGGAUUGACUAUUUUCAAAGGUAACCCCUCUUGUAGAUUUGGAAAAUCUCUAGUAACCUACAUCCACGCAAUAAAAGAUUUCUCCUGGAUAUUCAAUUAUCACAUUGCGAAUCAUCUUGCAUCGCAUGAGGUUAUACAUAUUAAAUUUGGUCAUAAUAAUUGUAUGAUAUGGCACUUCUGAGAUAAAAUUCAUUGAUGAUUCCGAGGCAUACAAAAACACAUUUUUGUUCCAAUUCAAAAUUACUAGCACGCCAUGAAACUUUCAAUAGACCUGCAAUCAUACUGAUUUUAGGUAGCAAAAUCUAAACCAGCAAAGAGGUCCUCCAUGGACUAGGCUUGAAAAUUAGAUGGUGCAUCUGGGAGAUUGGUGUACUUAGCAAGGGUAUCUAUAAGGAUAGUAGCUGGAGGUAAAUAGGGGGAAAAGGAUCGCAGAUUACAUUAUGUUGCAGAAAACUCAGCAACGUUCUCAUACACAAAUCUGUGAAGAUGCAAGACAGACAAAAAUCCUGAUAACUUGUAACAUUACCCUACGGACUAACAAUUGUAAACUUAAAUUAUCCACAUGCACUUUGAUUAUAGCAUGUGACUACUACGUAGUUUUAUCUAGAGAAAGGACAUUCUUCUGGACUAAUCUAUAAUUCGUCCUUGGCAUCAGAAUCAUCUUUGGCAGCAGCUUCUUUGUCAUCAGUUUCAGCUUCAGGUUCCUCAACAUCCUCUUCUUCCUCAACUGCUGCAUCAGGGCUAACAUUUAAACUGCUCUUAACUGAGCUGUAGAUGCGGGAGGCAAAAUCCUUUGGGUCAUUGAGCAGGAAACCACUCUCCAGUAAUGCUGUUUGGUACAUUAACUGAGCCGUUUGCUUCACGCUCUCAUCCUGUGAACCAAAUACAUGAAAUUAGUAACAGAUAGCCAUUUCUACAACAUCUAUCAUUUGAUCACAUGUAUAGAGAUAAAAUCAAGUGUACCUCAGGGUCCUUUACUACUCUCUCCCGAAGCUCCUUAAUAAUUGGGUGCCUAGGGUUGAUCUCAAGCACCCUUUUACCCCGCAUAUACGCCUGCUUGCUAGCAUCUGAAAGAGUUUGUGACUGCAUGAUUCUUUCCAUAUUGGCACUCCAACCGUAUUUCGAUGUCACAACUACACAAGGAGUGUCGGCCAAACGGUUGCUAAUCUUGACAUCAUCUACAUUGUCACUAGCAAGAGCACCCUUCCACCAUUUGGUUAGCUCCUUAAAUGACUCCUUGAGCUCUUUGGCUUUCGAAUCCUUGCCCAGUUUCAGGCCCUCUUUGGACACAUUUUGGAACUUAUGGUCUUCAUAGUCCAUAAGGUACUGCAUUAGGUAUUCAUCUACGGGGUCCGUGAAGAAAAUCACCUAAACGAUGCAACAAGGCAAAAUUAGCAAAUGAAUCUUUAGAGAAAACAUGACAAAUGCAUUCAUAACAGAAUUCAAAUAUCAAAGACAAGGAACAUAGUCAAACUCAAACCCACAAUGCAAGAAACGAUGACUAAUACUUUUUGUCAAAAUAAAAAACCACUAGUUAUUUUGUUGUGCAGCAUUCCAAUCUUUCCUUGCUAUCUUAAGAAAGACUCAUACCUCAUAAUUUUUCUUUGUUAGCCUCUCAAGGAAUGGUGAUUUCUCUAACUGCUCUUUGCUAGCUCCAGUUAUAUAGAAGAUAUCCUUCUGUCCAGUCUUCAUCCUUGAGAUGUACUGGUCUAGCGAAGUUAGUUUACCAUCUGAUUUUGAGCUGCAAACGGAAAAAAUAUUAAGACAACAAGGGAUUAGUCACCCUGAUUUUAUUUCACAAUCUCAUUAAGAAUAACACUCUUAAGACACAGAGCAUACGUCUCAAAUCGGAGGAGCUUAGCCAAGCGAUUUCUGUUAGUUGCAUCUUCUAUAAUACCAAGUUUUACUGACUUUCCAAAUUCAUUCCAAAACUUUGCAUAUUGACCUUUCUUCUCAUUGUCUGCACUGGAUUCUUCGAUAUCUGUAACGUCAUGAGAAACUCAGAAAUGAGAAAUUCAAUCUCUUAGGCAAUGGAUAGUUCAGAGAUAUUAACUAACCUUUCUUAUCCUUGUCGUUAGAUUCAUCAGGAUCCUCAUCAGCAAUCUUGCGUAUCAUGUCAAGAGCCUUGCGGAUGAGUUUCUUCUUAAUUGUCUUCAAGCUGCUGUGCUGCUGAAGCAUUUCUCUUGAGACAUUGAGGGGUAAGGUGUCAGAAUCAACAAGACCCUAGCAUAAAUGGCAAACAAAAUGAUGUUAGAAACUCUUGGCCAAUACAUAAUAUAAACAGAUAAGUUCUAGAGUAACAAGAACUACCAUUAGGAAACUCAAGUACUUGGGUAACAAUUCGUCAAAUUCAUCAGAGAUAAAGACCCGUCUGACAUAUAACUUCAAGUUGGAUUUCUUGGAGUUGUAGUAGCUUUCAUAUAAAUCUUGAGGAGCCUUAGGAGGGACAAAUAGUACAGCCUUGAACUCAACAUCACCUUCAGCAUUAAAGUGACUCCAAGCAAGGGGCUUCUCAUCACUGAAGUCCUGGCAAAAUAAUACAAGAAUUUAGCAAAUGGUAAGAGAGUUCACAAAAGGUUUCUAGUCUUCCCACUGCAUUUCAACUGGAAGAAAGUAUGUAAGUAGCAAUUUACCUUUGCAAGUGAGUGAUAGAAUUUCGUAUACUCUUCCUCUGUCACCUCCUUUGGAUUCCGAAGCCAUAUAGCUUUCACAUCAUUCAAAAGCUCCCACUCAUAAGUGGUUUCCUUCACCUUCUUAGUUUUGGGCUUUUUCUCAUCUUCUGCCUUCUCAGAAUCAUCUUCUUCUUCAUCUUCAGAAGGGCUAGUUUCAGCUGUUCACAACAUUGAAAGACUAUGAGGCCACAUAAGAUUAAACCAAAAGGAGGGGAUAAACUUUAUAUUCUCUAGCAACCUUCCACACCCCCCCCCCCCAAAAAAAAAACAAUUUCUUCGAGCAGGGGACAGGUCUUAAAAUAUGCAUUAAACACAUUAUACAAGUUUUGACUUCAUUAACACUAGAAUAUACUUGGCAAAUCAGGUAGGAAGAAUCACACAUACAUGUUUCCUCUUCAUCGCUUGACUCGUCUUCGUCGGUAGGAACCUCCUUCUCAACCUCUUUGCUAGCCCAGAGAUAUAUAGGGAAGUUGAUGAAUUCAGAGUAUUUCUUCACCAGGUCCUGGAUUCAAGGUAACCCGUGCAUUAAGCAAAGUAGAAUGCCUCAACAGAAGCUUCAGAAACAUAAUAUUAUUUCAGAGACAGAAAAUGUGUUCAUAGGAACUCUUAUUUUCAAUUUAAUCUGGUAAUUUGAACUGGAAAAUAAUCAAAAUUUGGAACAGGAUAUUUCAGGAUAGAUGCUGAUUAUAAGUACCUAGAUUUAAAAAUACAAAAUCUUAGUCAACAGAAUCAGAGGUCGUGUUUCUUUUCUCUAACUCCAAUAAUUUAUGUUAACUCCACACAGACACAAAAGCAAUAGGUUGGAUAUGCAAAACAGAAACAACUUAUCACAGACUUCUACUUUUAACUAACAAUUCAUCCAUAAGCUUAAUUCUCUCAACCAUUGUAAUCCAAGACUAAUAAAAUAUAAAGUAAUUGGUCCUUUAUUUUUUCGGUUAGACUGCACACUUUCAAUCAAAGGUCCAACUGAUCAAAUAAUCCUAACUAAGGGAGCAGAAAAAGUCAUAUAAGAAAAUAAACUAGAAUUAGCUUCUAAGUUAAUGGGUCUCAAAGGUUUGCAGCCCUUUACUGCCCUGGUCUUCUGAUGUCCUCAAUAUUGCCUUGGAAAAUUUUUUCUUGUCUUCUUAAUAUAAUCUAAUAGAUAAUGUGGGAAAGAAAAGAAUUGAUAAAUCCCAAGGUUAAGAUUGUUUAUUUCCAUUUAUUUCAGCAUUAAAGUAUAUUAUGACCUACUGUGCAAAAACCACUGUCAGAAUGGAAAACAAAAUUACUCUAAAUGACUGGUUAACUAUUAAAAGUUUUGGCAUGCACCAACUCAUGAUAUAUGAAAAGAGUCUCCUUGGGACGUAUCGGUCACACACACCUUUAGUUUGUACUCGUCCAAAUAUUCUCCUGCUUCAUCUCUAAGGUGCAAUCUAAUUUCAGUUCCACGACCAAGAGGUUCAUUCCAUACAUCUUCAGAAAUGGCAAAUGCCCCAUCAGCCUUUGACUCCCAGACAUAU
rnacentral:lncRNA from 1 species